rnacentral:rRNA from 1 species
CAAUAGCGUAUAUUAAAGUUGUUGCGGUUAAAAAGCUCGUAGUUGGAUUUCUGCUGAGAACGACCGGUCCGCCCUUUGGGUGUGUAUCUGGCUCUUUCUUGGCAUCUUCUUGGUGAACGUUGCUGCACUUGACUGUGUGGAGCGCUACCCAGGACUUUUACUUUGAGGAAUUGUGAGUGUUUCAAGCAGGCUUACGCCGUUGAAUCCGUUAGCAUGGAAUAAUAGGAUAGGACCUCGGUUCUAUUUUGUUGGUUUUGAGAGCUGGGGCAGCGAUUGAUAGGGACGGAUGGGGGCGUCCGAACUUUACUGUCAGAGGUGAAAUUCUUAGAUCGGUCAAAGGCGAACUGUUGCGAACGCAUUCGCCAAGAAUGUUUUCUUUA